GACGAACGCUGGCGGCGUGCCUAAUACAUGCAAGUCGAGCGGACGAAUCGAAAGCUUGCUUUUGAUUCGUUAGCGGCGGACGGGUGAGUAACACGUGGGCAACCUGCCCUGUAGACGGGGAUAACACCGAGAAAUCGGUGCUAAUACCGGAUAACACGAAAUGUCGCAUGACGUUUCGUUGAAAGACGGCGCAAGCUGUCGCUACAGGAUGGGCCCGGGCGCAUUAGCUAGUUGGUGAGGUAACGGCUCACCAAGGCGACGAUGCGUAGCCGACCUGAGAGGGUGAUCGGCCACACUGGGACUGAGACACGGCCCAGACUCCUACGGGAGGCAGCAGUAGGGAAUCUUCCGCAAUGGACGAAAGUCUGACGGAGCAACGCCGCGUGAGCGAAGAAGGCCUUCGGGUCGUAAAGCUCUGUUGUUAGGGAAGAACAAGUAACGCAGUAACUGGCGUUACCGUGACGGUACCUAACGAGAAAGCCACGGCUAACUACGUG
rnacentral:rRNA from 1 species